AUUGAACGCUGGCGGCAUGCCUAACACAUGCAAGUCGAACGAGUGGCGGACGGGUGAGUAACGUCUGGGAAACCUCCCGAUGGCGGGGGAUAACUACUGGAAACGGUAGCUAAUUCCGCAUACCAUCAGAUGUGCCCAGAUGGGAUUGGCUUGUUGGUGGGGUAACGGCUCACCAAGGCGACGAUCCCUAGCCGGUCUGAGAGGGGGACCAGCCACAUUGGAACGGGGAAACGGGCCAGACUCCUACGGAGGGAAGCGGGGGGAAAUAUUGGACAUUGGGCGAAAGCCUGAGGCAGCACUGCCGCGGGGUGGAGAAAGGCCUUCGGGUUGAAAGGUCCGUUCAGCGGGGAGGCGGUACCGGAAUAGGAAGCAACGGCUAACUCCGUGCCAGCAGCCGCGGUAAUUC
rnacentral:rRNA from 1 species